UAUUGCAUAUAUGUUUGUGUGUGAGUGGCUCACGUUAGAAUGUGCAGUAAAUGCAAAAGUGAAAUCUGCAACAUAGCGCUCUUGCCCCCUGACCACUUCCUAAAGAACCUGCCAUGUGGGCUGCAGGCUUAAAGACUUAUGCUUAGAUCCUCAGGAUGGAAAGAGUCGGAGUCCCCCACCCCCGCCCCCUGCUUCGUGGUAAAAGCCUCCAGCAGACCUAAAAUUAUAAAACUGGUUUACUGCUGUCAUGUGAACUCAAAUGUUCGGUUAGCCUCCGUUGUAAAAAUUUCAGCAAACAAUUACAAAGUUUUAAAUAUUUGGGAAUAGGACCAGCGCCUUGCCGCCCCUUAAAAAUAAUCCUGCAACUUUCUCCUGUACGGAAUCCAAUUCUUUGAAACCAUUUAGAACGUGCAUUCUGAUCCUGAAAUGUACGAGUUAUAAAGGAAAAAAAAAUGUGAGCUUGUCAGAUGAACUACAAUCAUCAGUCUAAUAAAACUGAGUCACAUCCAAAUGGGCUGCACUUACGCUACCCUCCCAUUCUGGGGAAAACGUGGCUGGGGGAGGCAGGCUGAGUCAUCACCUGGUUUGUUUGACAUACGCUUCCUUCCAUAAAUUGGGAAUGGCAAGCAGCACGAUGUUCCGGGCUUGCCUCGGAGGAGCUCUUGCAGCUUGCACGAUCAAAAUAGGGCCUUUUAGGUUUGAAGGUUGAAACGGAGCCCAUGUUUUGGCUUCAGAUGUCGGGGGAGGGGGAGAUACCGACAGACACAAACAAGGAACAAAUGUAAGUACCGUUUUGGUGGGGAGGGGGGGUGUCAAAAGAAGAAGUGAGGGUAUUUACAGUUGAAUUUUUCCUUGGACAUAAAAAAGAUUUAGGAAAUAAAUUGAGAGUGUUAAAAUGAAAAUAAAUUGGUAGCUAGUUCACUAAGUGGGAGCUCAUUUACUUAACAAGAACGGUCUUGAUGUGAAAAGUCCAAAAUGAUUAUGCGCGAGAGAACGAAGAGGGAGAAAGAAAAGGGGAGAGGAGUGAUGUGGUACUCACGGCACGAAUUUGUCCUGACAGUGUUUAAUGUUGCCUGAUGUAUCCAACCAUUUUGAGAGAAAUGUAUUUCAUGGGGAAAAAAAAAACCACUUUUUCAGGGCAGACUUUGAAUCUCCUUUAGGGGUAUUUUGAGGGGCAGAGAAGAGCUGGGGCUUGUGUGUCUCCCGUAUUUUCCUACCGUGGCUUUGCAAAAAGGCUCACCCGGGUUUUUUUUUUUUAAAAAAAAGAAAGAAAGAAAGAAAGAAGUUUAGAAUGUAAAAGUGUUGGGGAGACCGGAGAGGAAGGGGAAGGAGGAGGAGACGACCUCUAGCUGAAGUGGGUUUGUAAACUCAGUCUCUGCUUUGGGUAUUUUUUUUUUUUUAAUAUGUGCCCGCCAUUCCUCUGAUUUCCAUCCUGGCUUGCUUGUGGCUUUUUCUCUGUCUGUGCGAGGCUCGGGUGUUCCCUGUUUUAAAGCCGGAGUUGUCACAGUCUGGGCGUUUUCUGUUUCGGCUUAUGGCUUUUUUUUUUCUCUUUUCCUGAAUGAGUGUCCUUUGUGUAACCCCAGUAAUUCAGAAAUCCUUCAGUCAGAGGGACUGCCCUGUCAUGUGACUUAGGUACUAGGUGCAGCCUGCAAUUGGUCAGCAGCUAAUUGGCGGGUCCCUAUAAGAGGUCCCGCUUUGGGCGUCCGGCCACUCUCCUGCCUGGGCUGCUGCUCAACAGGAACCGGGGGGGAAGGGGGGGGUGCGACGGGUCCAGUGAUUCAGCCACAUGUGAUAGAUGACCAAGGGACUACUUCCUUGGGGUCCGCACAUCAGUGGAAGACACCCAAACCGGUGGUGGCUGACUCGCUCAAACUCUGGCUCCCCGAACUGGAAUGAAAUGCAGAUAACUCUUUAGAAAACUUUUCGUAGGAAAAAAAAAGCGCCUCGUGUGAUCUGGAACAAAGACAUUUUAUAAUCAGAUUUAUCAAGCUGUGAAGAGGGCGUUUUAGCCAACGGAAGCAGCAGCAUUCUGUCACCAGGAAAUACUGCUUUAUCCAGAAUUGAGCCCCUUACCAGGAGGCUGCGGAUCCUCCGGCUGCUGGAUGUAGUCCUGAGUGCAGCGAUUGGAGAGUCCUCAGUAAUGCAAGCUUUACCUUGAUUUACACAGAACAUACACCCACCCAGAGUUAAGUUAUGGGGUGAUGAGUCUUCUGUUAUUAGAUGGAGUGGAGGACCAUCAAGGUCUUGUUAAUAACGAGAUGUAUUUGAUUUCAACACCACAAAGGGAAGGAAUCUGUAUUAUUUUAUCCAUGGAUUGUUUGUCUCUUUUUUUUUUCCCUCUCUCUGCCCCCUGUGGAAGGUAUCAUUUGGUCACAAAACUAUCCUCCUGUCUGUCUGUCUGUCUAUUUAUUUAUCUGUCUAUCUAUAAAUCAAGCAUUUGGUUACAAAACUAUCUACAUUUAUCUAUCUAUCUAUCAAUCAUCUACCUACCUACCUACCUGUCUUAUAUAUCCAUCUAUCUUAUCCAUCUAUCCAUCCAUCCAUCCAUUUGUUCUCUUCAUCUCUUGACUUUUAAAUGGGCAUUCUCAAAAUAACGUGGUGAUUUCAGUUUAAGGACAUUUCACUUGUCAUAAAUACAUCCCAGCAGUGCAUUGUGACUUGUGGUUGCCCUUUCCCCGUGGUAGAGAAUUUGAAAGCCAGAAAUCUCAAAUGCAAGCAGGCAACUGAUGUGGAAAUCAUAUGUGGGAAGACUGGACAGGCCCGACGUCCAGGUCUGGGGCAUGAACCUGGCAUACAAUGUAGAUUUCUGUGUUUGAUGGGCAACAGCUACAUUGUCUGCUGGGUUUCAGGCUACCUGGAAACAUGUGCUUCAUGGCGGUUUCAUCAAUGCUUCACCUGUACUGUUUUGGAAUAGCUUUUCUAGGAGGCAUAAUGAUCCAUGGGCUCUAUCAUUGGACAAAAUGCAGAGAAAGAACCCCAGGAGGGCUGAUCACCUUAGCAAACACUGAUUUUAUUAUGAUUUUACCCAAGAUGGUCAAAUAUCAGCCCAGGAAACUCAAUGAAUUGGACCCAAGGUGUAAUGCUGUCCUUCCUUCUCUCUGCCUCAACUCUCAAGGAUGGGUCACUCACAUGUUGUUAUUAAUUAUUGUUUGGGUUUCUGUCCAUAUUUCCUAUGGGCCUAACCACACUGCCCGGCUCCCUCACCAUCCAUUCCUCCUCGUUUUGGCUUCUUGCCCACCUACGGGGGCCUGGUUUAUUUUUGUUCUGUCUUCACCACAGACAGCCCCAUCAUUUUUGUGAGUGAUUCUCAGUCUUACCAAAAUCCAUCUCUCACUCUGCCCAGCAUCGAAUCCCAUCAUUUGCUCCCUGAAGUGAACUCUAGAAUUGAGGGAAACUGGAUUUUUCUUUUUUUUUUUUUUUUACCACUGUUCCCCAUCUCUUCCGAGACCAAAAGUAAAGCAGCUUUCUUAUAGAAUGACAGAGAACUUGUGAAGAGAAACCACCAGUCUGCAGGAGUAAAGGAAGAAGAGAAUGAUGGAAAAUCAGUUUACAUCUCUAAACACUAAAAAAAAAAAAAGCUAAACCCUCAAUUUUUUAAUAAUAAAAGGAAUAUGACUUUUAAAAGAGAAGUUGUAAACCCUUGGUUAUAUGAACUGGAGACUUUUCAGUAAGAAAUCAUGUCUUUUACAUGAAUAUGAAUUAACAGAUUUAAAGUUGAAAAUGAAUGUAAGGAAUGCAAGCAAAGUCUGCUUGUAAUAGCCGAUGGUAAUGAUAUAAUGUAUUUUGUCACUCCCUGCUGAAUUCAAUAAAAAUAAAGCUAAUGACUUGGAGCUUU